rnacentral:rRNA from 1 species
CAGUCGCCGCGGUAAUACGUAGGGUGCAAGCGUUAAUCGGAAUUACUGGGCGUAAAGCGUGCGCAGGCGGUUAUAUAAGACAGAUGUGAAAUCCCCGGGCUCAACCUGGGAACUGCAUUUGUGACUGUAUAGCUAGAGUACGGCAGAGGGGGAUGGAAUUCCGCGUGUAGCAGUGAAAUGCGUAGAUAUGCGGAGGAACACCGAUGGCGAAGGCAAUCCCCUGGGCCUGUACUGACGCUCAUGCACGAAAGCGUGGGGAGCAAACAGGAUUAGAUACCCGGUUAGUCCCUGUCUCUUAUAC